rnacentral:rRNA from 1 species
GACGAGGAGGCGAGCGUUGUCCGGAGUUACUGGGCGUAAAGGGUGCGCAGGCGGCCCCUUAAGGUGGCGGUGAAAGCUCCUGGCUCAACUGGGAGAGGGCCGUGACGACUGGGGGGGCUUGAGGCUCGGAGAGGGGACGUGGAAUUCCGGGUGGAGCGGUGAAAAUGCGUAGAGAUCCGGAAGAACACCGACGGCGAAGGCAGCGUCCUGGCCCGAGCACUGACGCUCAGGGCACGAAAAAGC